rnacentral:lncRNA from 1 species
GCCGAGCCGGUGGCGUGCCAGCCAAGGCAUGGCGACGCAGUGCGGGGCGAGCUACUUUCCCCAACCUACACCUUAGUACCCGCUGGGCCGAUAACAUUCAGAAAGGUAGAUAGGAUGAACAGGGUGCUCCCCAAAGGGCUCUGAGUUCAACUUGAGAGACUCAGAAACUGAAUUGGGAAAGACGCUUGACACAUGAAAUCCCUUGCUACUCUGGAGCUGUACGCAACCCUGACAGAGGAGCCUUUUACAGAAGGCAAAGAAAUGCUUCCCUGGUUUGAUAAACUUCCACCACCACCACCACCCCCCAUCCCCGCAGCAAGUCCUCAUGAUGCUGCUCAGACGCGCAUGGCCUCACCAUCUGCCUUUCGGUUUCUAGGUGAGGGACGUGACACCAAGAUUCCAAGGAACCGUAUCUGAAAGCCAGCCCCUUCUGAAUGUAUAUACACUACUAAGGAACAAGAAUAAGUAGACACACUGCCCAUAAACAAAAGGAGCAUCAUCACUUCAAAUAAAGGCAGUGGGACUAUGAAG